UCCCCACGUACAAAGUAAGGAGGAAAUUUCCUUCCUUCCUAGCUUCUUCCCUCAUUUCAGUCUCCAUUCAAAACAAAAAUCAAGUUUGCUUCUUCCACUUCAAUCCUUUACAAAUUCAACAAUUUCAGAAUUUCUAAUUGCAAAAACAAGAGACCAAUUCCACUUCUUUUUCUCUCCUCUGUCGAACCACCACCAUCAACCACCACCGUUUACCACCACGACCACCUGCUGCCUCCAUCAUUCCCAGCCACCCGCACCCGCACCAAACCAAUCACCGCCUCACCCUCCUCCCAGAACCAACCGAGAAACACCACCCUUGCUCCUCCCCUGUUUCGCAACCCCCUUCCCCUGCCUCCCUCUUUUCGUUCCCCUGCUGCAGCCACCACAAUCACACCACCACCACCACCACCGUCUCUCCGGCGCUUCUCUGUUGUGCCGCCUCCCAGUCCGCCCAGAACCUCCGCCCAAACCUCCGGUCACCAUCACCCCUCUCCUCCCCUGAUUUCUCCCCUGUUCGCGCCCCUCUCCCCCUUCCCUCGCCUGUUUCUGCCGCCUCAAACCACCAUCACCGUCGCCUCUCGGCGCGGUUUCACCGCCCAGGCUGAGCCCCCAGCCUCCCUCCUCUCUUCCUCCUCCCCGUGUUCCUCCUGUUCGUGCCCUGCUUCGUUCGUGCCCUGCUUCCCUUGCUGCUCAAUUUCAGAAACUUUGUUUCUGAAAUUGAAACCUCAUUUACUCCUCCAUAUUUAAGUUGGGCCAAUCAAUUGGGCUUUGGAAAUUGGACUCGGAGUUCAGGAAGAACGAUCCAUCGAACAGGAAGUAUAAACUACGGUUGAGGUACGAAGAAGAUCAUGGGAUGCCUUAGAGUGAGGAUGCAACCAUCAAAUUCACGAUCGAUGUUUAGUAAAGAUAACUAUGUCAUUAGUAAUAAAGGGAUGUAUUAAUUAAACUCUAAGUUUGAUUUCACGAUUUGAGUUAGAUCUUCAAAUUAAUGUUUAAACGUGUUAGAAAUAUUUAUUAAGGUUUACCUAGAUUUUAAUGUAAUUUUUAAAGGAUUAAUCGAAGUGAAGUAUAAUUACUGUUACUCAACAGUAGUCAGUAAAUGUAAAAAGGUUAUGUCGCCUUGUAUUUCCCACGAGGGAGAUACGGCAGUAACGCUCCUACUAAAUUAGGGUUUUCGCUGCUAAUUAAAGAUAAUUAACCUAAUUAAUGGUGUUUAGAAGUCGGGGUGUUACAGAGAGACUUUAGAUUGUCUCAUAUUGACUUUAUACUGGUUGGUAAAGUAAAUGUAUCGUGGAUUCGUGAAAUAGCUUGGUUGGUUCACUUAGGUAGCCUAUAAGUGCUAGUGCUUGUUUGUUUAAUUUCCCAUCUAAUUUCUUAAGAAAUAGCUUAAUGUGUUUUGUCGAACUUGAGCAUUUCUAUUUAAUGGAGACUGAUACACAAUUAACAUAUUUAAUCAAUAUAUGUAUUAGCAAAAACCAAGAAAUGCCUUGAUCUAGUGGAAAAUAUUUCUCCUUCUAACAAAAAAUUCAGAGGUUCAAUCCAC